CAGUAGCCGCGGGAAUACGUAGGUGGCAAGCGUUGUCCGGAAUUAUUGGGCGUAAAGGGCUCGCAGGCGGUUUCUUAAGUCUGAUGUGAAAGCCCCCGGCUCAACCGGGGAGGGUCAUUGGAAACUGGGAAACUUGAGUGCAGAAGAGGAGAGUGGAAUUCCACGUGUAGCGGUGAAAUGCGUAGAGAUGUGGAGGAACACCAGUGGCGAAGGCGACUCUCUGGUCUGUAACUGGCGCUGAGGAGCGAAAGCGUGGGGAGCGAACAGGAUUAGAUACCCGGGUAGUCCCUGUCUCUUAUAC
rnacentral:rRNA from 1 species